UAAAAAAGCUGACCUGUUAAUCACAGGAGUGGUUAGUUGUGCCCCUGUCUGUUUGCAUUGCACAUAUUGUGUCUAUUAGUGGGGUUUUCAUUUAGUAAGAAAAUGUAACGCUGGCCCUUUAAGAAACACAAGCGUGCAAUUACCUGAAAGUGUCGUUGCAAUUACCUGCAAGCAGUGCGAUCUCAUACCACGGUGUUCGUUGGUGCAUUGGAGCAAAAUUUACGCCAAAGUUUAGUGAAAAGUAAACUAGCAUGAGCUGUGCAUGCAUGAUAAAGGUAAAUAAGAGCUCCUUAGUGUUUUGCUGGUCAGUGUGGCCGUGUGUCGCGUUGAUUUCAGGGGAUUUAACCGGGACACAUUAGUGUGGGUGAACCAAAUCAACGCCGUCGCGUAAAGCAGGGGAGAAAACUGCUCCAUAGGCCAUCCGUGUGCUUCCGGUGUGAGUGUGAAGCAUCAGAGUGAGUGUUAUUUCGUGUUACUGUUCCAAAAGUGAGUUAUCGUGAUACACGUGUGUUUUGUUAUAGAGUACAGGAAGAUAGAGGAUUUCUUUAUGUUGUGUGUUCCCAAUGUUAAUGUGAACCUCUAUUAUAUGCAGAGAAGAAACACAAGCUCCUCAUAUGCAGUGUUAAUUUGUGAUGUACUAGAGUGGUGAUAAGCAGUAAGUUUGAAUCAGUUAUUUUGUUUUAUUUGAAAUGAGACAGUAUGUCUAUGGAUGAUGUUAUAUGUCAUGUUUGUGCUGACAAGGUUAUAUUUAUUUUUGUGUUUGCUUAUAGAAUGAGAGGCUGCUACCGUUGUCUAUGUAAUGCAUUUAUUUAGAGAUAAAUUAUCAUUUUGUUUUGAGGGACAAACUUUACUAAUGUCAACAACUGUACAUGAGUUUUAAGUUUCUUUCUGAUUCCCCGAAUUUGCACAAUUAACGCUGCUCUAUUUAAAGUGCAGUCUGGAAUAAAAGAUCCCAUCUAAAUUA